ACCAGUAACGAGUGAGAGAGCAAAAACCAAGUUCAAGACAGUCCUGAGAAGUUUACAGUGACCUGGAAGCAACUACUACCCGCCAAUGAAAUCCUGACCAUGCUUCACGCACAUGGGGAGAAAAAGCUGCACUCCAAAAGGCUCUGCAGCAGCUAAACGCUGUGACAGCCUCGGCACUCUUUGCACCACGAGGCCCAGGCCAGGCCACACCACAUGAAACACUGCAUGCGGGGGGUCCGGCCGGAGAAAAAGAUCGUGACCCGAGGACGAGCUUCAGGAUUUCCUGCCAUCACCAAUCUUCAUUCAGAAUUCCCGCUUCUGCUCAAUCCAGGGUGGCCAAAUUUCUCUCCCUCCCAACAGCCUGACGCACUCCAGCAAGUUAUUAAGUUUGCAAUAGUGGUGCGGGCGAGGAGAUAACGAUAAAGCACAGGGGGCACCUAAAAGGGCACCUUGCUCCACAACAUCCGAUAGGCUCGAACGUAGCGGGGGGGGCGUAGGUGGAAACUCCGACCCCCAGCUUUUCUCGGGGGUACCCCACGCCACCCUGGGACAAGACGGCAGGGCAGGAGCCUAAAAGACACAACCGCACCUCAGAGCGGCGGGCUGAGAGAAAGCUCUGAGCAGGAAGAAGCCGCGGAGGCCCCACCAUCCCAUUAACAACAAACGCUCCGAAAAGGAGCUCCCUUCCCCGAACCUCGGCCCAUGCGCUCGCCCGCCAAGGAAUCCGGCGGGAAGACAACAGCCUCCCAGGAUCCCGACCACGCUCCUCCGCUCAGAACCUGAGGCGGGAAGGGGUGGCUCCAGGAUCCUUGCAGGUGGCGGUUUGAACUUGUGGCUACCACGCUCCCAGCACCUUCGCAGGACCUGGCUUUCAUCAGGCGGGGGAAACGCGAAGAAAUCGGCGGCCAAGUCUCCCGCGGACCCUCGGAGCUCCAGAAGCCAGUGGUAGCCGCCAGUCCCCUCGCUCCUUCCCUCCAUCCCGGGUCUCCCCCACCUUCCACCACAGCUUUACCUUCUUUCUUAAGCGCCACGGGCGGCUGCGUCUCCUCCUUCUUGUCAACCACGCCGACGUUGGGGGGCAGCGGGUUCUUGCGGUCUUUCUGGGACUCUUUACGCAGCUGUUUGCCCGCCGCGUUGGAGUUUGUCUGGGCUGCGGCCUGAGCUGCGCUCUUGGCCCCAGGGCCCCCAACGCCGCCCCCGCCGGCUUCUUUUUUCUUGUUCUCUGCUGCCUUCAACACCUCGAAGGGGUCCGAUUCGUCGUCAAAUAACUGGUCGAAUCGGUUGGUGACCACGCAGCCGAAGCCUUCUUGUAAGUGCCCAGGCAUGAUGGUGGCUCGGCGGCGCGUUCCUCCACGGAUUGCAGCGGGCCGCGCCGAGCCAAGAGCGCCUGCUUCAGCUCUUCCCACAAGAUGGCCGGGCCGAGAGAGGGGGGCCGUCUUCUCUUCCGGCGCCAGGCAGACAUCCGGGAGCGGCCAGCGCCGCGCGGUACCAUGGGGUGUGUAGGCCGAAGUCGCCUCUCCCGAGGCGGCUCCCAGCGUUAGGACUACAAUUCCCAGAACACACGGCGCGACAACUCUUCGCGCGCGCCUCAGAGGCGGGACCUCACCGAGGGAGUGGAGCAGCAAGCAGAGGGAGGAGAAGAGUGGUGGUGGGCGGAGCCCUGCCACCUGCUCUCGCCACCCUUAAACUCUCCGGGUCUCGAGCUGCGCUGAAAACAGGAAAACGGCUUGUUUUGCUCGGGAAAGUUCUGAGCUUUCGCUUUUACGUCCCGCCUCUGGCCCAGGGCUAACUUUCCCCACCUGUCCGGGAGGUCAAGGUGACUACCAGUCUUACAAGUGGAGACUCACAAACUUCCAGGGCUGGAGGGUUGCUGAGGUGCCGCACUUGCCUCACGAAGGCAGGACCCGCUCUGUGUCAAGUCCCUAGCUGAUCAGUUGCUGGAGUCGCCCUCCUGCAGCCCCAAUAAUGAAUUGAGGCUCUUCUGUUUAAUAUGAGGCGGAAUACGCUUCCUCUCGCGGGGACUGAACUCGAGCAGCAGAAUCAACCCAAAAGACAAGUUGAACUAUCAUAUGUGCUAUGAACAACCUUAAUGUCGACAACAACUUGUUAGGCCUCUCACUGCUGGGGCCUCUCUACCGUUGCGGAGCACCGGCUCCGGACGUGCAGGC